CAGGAUGAACGCUAGCUACAGGCUUAACACAUGCAAGUCGAGGGGCAGCAUGAGAUCAGCUUGCUGAUCUGAUGGCGACCGGCGCACGGGUGAGUAACGCGUAUCCAACCUUCCCCCUACUCAGGCAUAGCCCGGUGAAAACCGGAUUAACUCCUGAUAGUUUCACUAGAUGGCAUCUGACGGUGAAUAAAGCUUAGCGGUAAGGGAUGGGGAUGCGUCUGAUUAGCUUGUUGGCGGGUAACGGCCCACCAAGGCGACGAUCAGUAGGGGUUCUGAGAGGAAGGUCCCCCACAUUGGAACUGAGACACGGUCCAAACUCCUACGGGAGGCAGCAGUGAGGAAUAUUGGUCAAUGGGCGCGAGCCUGAACCAGCCAAGUAGCGUGCAGGAAGACGGCCCUAUGGGUUGUAAACUGCUUUUGUGCGGGAAUAAAGUCAGGGACGUGUCCCUGUUUGCAUGUACCGCAAGAAUAAGGACCGGCUAAUUCCGUGCCAGCCGCGGC
rnacentral:rRNA from 1 species